UAGGCUACCGGGGCUGCCAUCAUCACCACCACCUCUCACCUUCCAGUGAGCUCGCUGUCUUCCCGAUUCUGGAAAGUGAUUAACCGUUUUGGUGACUUGCAUCCAACUGGAUUGAAACAACAUUUGUCUCAGAAGAAAAACCUGUUUCAUGCAGACUGUGGGCUGGUGUUCUGGCUGAGCCUCCCUCAAAAGUCUCGUGGCUGUGACUUGAACAAGGAGGGAGCCCCCCACCCUUGGAUGUUCCUGCAAAACCUGAAAGGAAUUUGAGGUUUUUCAGGCGUGCAGACAGAAGCACUACACUGUCCCUUCACAGCAAAGACCUGAAAAACGAAGUAAAACAGAGACA